rnacentral:rRNA from 1 species
UACGAGGGGGGCGAGCGUUGUUCGGAAUUAUUGGGCGUAAAGGGUGCGUAGGCGGCAUGAUAAGUUAUUGGCGGCAAAUCGAGGCUCAACCUCGUGGAAACUGAUAAUACUGUUUUGCUUGAGUACAGAAGAGGUUAACGGAACUCCAUGUGGAGCGGUAAAAUGUGUAGAUAUAUGGAAGAACAUCAAUAACGGCGAAGGCAGUUAACUAUUCUGUUACUGACGUUGAGGCACGAAAGCGUGGGGAGCAAAAAGG